UUUCCGUAGGUGAACCUGCGGAAGGAUCAUUACCGAGGGGCUUCGGCCCUCUCAAGAUACCACCCUUGCAUUUUAGAACCUUCUGUUUCCUCGGCGGGCUCGCGCCCGUCAAUGGGGACCACACCAAACCCUUUUGUAGUUGCAGUAAACGUCUAAAACAAAUAAAUCAAAACUUUCAACAACGGAUCUCUUGGUUCUGGCAUCGAUGAAGAACGCAGC
rnacentral:misc_RNA from 1 species